GAUGAACGCUGGCGGCGUGCUUAACACAUGCAAGUCGAACGGAAAGGCUCCUGCUUGCAGGGGUACUCGAUUGGCGAACGGGUGAGUAACACGUGGGUGAUCUGCCCUGCACUUCGGGAUAAGACUGGGAAACUGGGUCUAAUACCGGAUAGGACCUCAUUUUGGAUGGUGUGGUGGAAAGUUUUUCGGUGUGGGAUGGGCUCGCGGCCUAUCAGCUUGUUGGUGGGGUAAUGGGAUACCAAGGCGUCGACGGGUAGCCGGCCUGAGAGGGGGUACGGCCACCUUGGGACUGAGAUACGGCCCAGACGCCUAUGGGAGGCAGUAGUGGGGAAUAUUGCACAAUGGGGGCAAGCCUGAUGCAGCGACGUCGGGUGGGGGAAGACGUCCUUCGGGUUGUAAACUCCUUUCGCUAGAGACGAAGCGCAAGUGACGGUACCUGGAGAAGAAGCACCGGCUAACUACGUG
rnacentral:rRNA from 1 species